rnacentral:rRNA from 1 species
UACGAAGGGGGGCUAGCGUUGCUCGGAAUCACUGGGCGUAAAGCGCACGUAGGCGGCUUUCUAAGUCAGGGGUGAAAUCCUGGAGCUCAACUCCAGAACUGCCUUUGAUACUGGAGAGCUUGAGUCCGGAAGAGGUGAGUGGAACUCCGAGUGUAGAGGUGAAAUUCGUAGAUAUUCGGAAGAACACCAGUGGCGAAGGCGGCUCACUGGUCCGGUACUGACGCUGAUGUGCGAAAGCGUGGGGAGCAAACAGGG